rnacentral:rRNA from 1 species
GACGAACGCUGGCGGCGUGCUUAACACAUGCAAGUCGUACGGUAAGGCCCUUUCGGGGGUACACGAGUGGCGAACGGGUGAGUAACACGUGAGUAACCUGCCCACAACUUUGGGAUAACGCUAGGAAACUGGUGCUAAUACUGGAUAUGUGCCCCUGCUGCAUGGUGGGGGUUGGAAAGCUCCGGCGGUUGUGGAUGGACUCGCGGCCUAUCAGCUUGUUGGUGGGGUAGUGGCCUACCAAGGCGGCGACGGGUAGCCGGCCUGAGAGGGUGACCGGCCACAUUGGGACUGAGAUACGGCCCAGACGCCUACGGGAGGCAGCAGUGGGGAAUAUUGCACAAUGGGCGCAAGCCGGAUGCAGCAACGCCGCGUGCGGGAUGACGGCCUUCGGGUUGUAAACCGCUUUCAGCAGGGACGAAGCUUUUUGUGACGGUACCUGCAGAAGAAGCACCGGCUAACUACGUG